rnacentral:rRNA from 1 species
GACGAACGCUGGCGGCGUGCUUAACACAUGCAAGUCGAACGAAGCAUUUAGAACAGAUUACUUCGGUUUGAAGUUCUUUAUGACUGAGUGGCGGACGGGUGAGUAACGCGUGGGUAACCUGCCUUGUACUGGGGGAUAGCAGCUGGAAACGGCUGGUAAUACCGCAUAAGCGCACAAUGUUGCAUGACAUGGUGUGAAAAACUCCGGUGGUAUAAGAUGGACCCGCGUCUGAUUAGCUAGUUGGUGAGAUAACAGCCCACCAAGGCGACGAUCAGUAGUCGACCUGAGAGGGUGAUCGGCCACAUUGGGACUGAGACACGGCCCAGACUCCUACGGGAGGCAGCAGUGGGGAAUAUUGCACAAUGGAGGAAACUUUGAUGCAGCGACGCCGCGUGAGUGAAGAAGUAAUUCGUUAUGUAAAGCUCUAUCAGCAGGGAAGAUAGUGACGGUACCUGACUAAGAAGCUCCGGCUAAAUACGUGCCAGCAGCCGCCGCCG